GUGCCCGUAGCUCAACUGGAUAGAGCGUCUGACUACGAAUCAGGAGGUUGGGGGUUCGAGUCCCUCCGGGCGCACCA
rnacentral:tRNA from 1 species